GACGAACGCUGGCGGCGUGCUUAACACAUGCAAGUCGAACGGAAAGGCCCUGCUUUUGUGGGGUGCUCGAGUGGCGAACGGGUGAGUAACACGUGAGUAACCUGCCCUUGACUUUGGGAUAACUUCAGGAAACUGGGGCUAAUACCGGAUAGGAGCUCCUGCUGCAUGGUGGGGGUUGGAAAGUUUCGGCGGUUGGGGAUGGACUCGCGGCUUAUCAGCUUGUUGGUGGGGUAGUGGCUUACCAAGGCUUUGACGGGUAGCCGGCCUGAGAGGGUGACCGGCCACAUUGGGCCUGAGUUACGGCCCAGACUCCUACGGGAGGCAGCAGUGGGGAAUAUUGCACAAGGGGCGGAAGCGUGAUGCAGCAACGCCGCGUGCGGGAUGACGGCCUUCGGGUUGUAAACCGCUUUCGCCUGUGACGAAGCGUGAGUGACGGAAAUGGGUAAAGAAGCACCGGCAAACUACGU
rnacentral:rRNA from 1 species